rnacentral:lncRNA from 10 species
GUGAGUAGAUUUUCUACAUGUUAAUUACUUAAGAUUACUAUACUUUUGAUUUAUUUUACACUUGAAUUUGAUUUCUUAUCAUUGUUUGUUUUUCCUCAGUGUGUGUGUGUGUGUGUGUGUGUGUGUGUUUUAAAUAUAAACCUCUAUUAAUGCUGUCAGUUCUGUCUUACUUAGUGACCCUUGAUUGCUCAUUCACAUUUUAAAAUUAACCACUGGGUAUUUUGUGUAUUUUUUCUCUGCUUUUGUGUGUGCAGACUAAUUUUCUAGCUAUCUCUUUCUCUAGAGUUGGAAUCCAACCAGCAGCAAUGUCAGAUUUGUUGUUGUCGGUCAUGAGGUACAUGCUAGUCCCUUGCAAGGAACAGUUUCAGGCACAGCUGGAUCCAGAGGUUCAGACAGUGUCAUCAGGACUCAUUAUCACCUUCUCUACUUCUCAACUUCAAGUCCAGUGGAAAGAUGUGACUUUUCCGGAUAGUUCCAACAAAAUUCCUGGGCCUAAAUUGGGUCACACACUCACCCCGAACCAAUCCCUGAAUGUGAUGAUUGGGCUUAAGCCUGGGGAGAUGCAAAGACAUUCCUGGAGCUGAGGAUGUGGAUGCCUCUACCCAAACCACAUGGUUAGAGGGGGAAGAGGGGACCGAGCUGAAGAAGCCCCCGUCUUCCAGCGCAUGUUAUUCCCAUGACAGAUGCUAAAAGUUCAAGGGGAGAGCUACAAGAAGUGCGUUUUCCUGUGGCUACUUUCAUGUCUGGAUGCAAUGCCUAGACCUGCAUCCAUCUUGCGACCAACCUGAAGAUGAACAGAAAGGAAGGAAGGAUGGCCCAAUAGCCUGGGAAGAACUGGUGUUCCUGAUACCAUCAUUAACCACAGAAUCUACAAUCCCGGAACCCCCCAUCCUUAACCAUGGAAUCUACAAUCCUAUCUCUAGACCCUUUGUCCAGAUGCUACAGUUUCUUUGUUCAAUCUAGUUUGUGUCAGGAUUUCUGUUCAUUACAUCAAAAGUAUUCUAAUACUUGUAGCAAAGCAACUGGAGAAGUUUUCACUUUGUCUUUAACCAAAGAAGACUUCCAGGAAACAUCUCCUCAGUGGGUUUCUCCCUCACCACUGGAUUUUUAUCUCUGUACUAGUGCUUUGAUUUGUUUUAGGAGUCUCACCUCUCCACCUGUCAUAUUUCCCUGGCAGGCUCAUUUCUGCUAAUGCCCACAAUAUGUGUAUCAAUGAGCUUUCAACGUUAGGUACACAGCUCUUCAGGCAUGUAUAGCACAUUAAUCUGUCUGCUUCUAAGUGGUCUGUUGACAUGUUUGGGUGCCAGUUAUAUCUACAAGGCUGUGAUCAUUGUCCUGGGUUAUUCUGUUUGUUCUCUCUGCAGGAUGCAUUAGGACACCCAAGGCCAUGGCCAUCACUUACAUCUAGGAUUCAAUCUUAUCUCCUGUGAAUCACUGGAAACCUCCUGUCCUGGAACCCUUUUUUUCCACAUCCCACUGGAUGUCAUUCAUAGCAACUGGUCUUGUGGGUUGUCUAUUUUAUUGUGUUGUCUUACUCUUCCUCCUGGUAUCAGUUUUUAAAUCCUCUUGAUGAGAUCAGCUGAUCAGUCGCUAAGCAACAUAGUCCCCCAUGUCUUUGUAAGAUUCUCUGCACUCAUGGCUAGAAUGAUUUAUUCUGGUAUCUUAAGCUGUGUUUCAGAACCUCAUUCUAAAUAUCAACCUAUUCUUGUAAGUCCACUACUGAUCAUCUUUAGAUAUUCUUCAGUCUUCCAGAGUUCCAAAGGGCAGUAGGAAGAAGCAAUGAAAAUACCACCUGUAUUCUCACAUCUUUCAUUGUUCCACUCAAAAAAUACCACCAUGUUCACUUCUGGUGGAACGUUUAUGUCCAUGAGAAGCAGUGGCUUUGAAGAGUUUUGGCAGACUAUGGCGCCUUACUCAACAUUGGGAAGGGGGGUUCCAACUCUUUUAAGGUCUCAUCUUCAGCACUUCUAAACUGUGGGAAACUAUGUGAAAACAAAUGGAGUGGCCAAACACACCAUUCAUCACUGUGCUUCUGGACAGCUGCAAGUCCAUACGUGUUCUGAUAAUUCAAUACAAGAAAGAAGAUUUGCUUGGGAAGGUCUGAAUGGCCCUAGCUUUGUUUGUUAACCAUAACCUCUACCAGCUGGAAACACAAUGCCCCACUAAUACUAACAGUGCCUGCUUGUCCAAACAGCAUUCUGGCCACUUACAGCAAUUGACACAAAUUCUAACAGGUCUGUUAAUGUUUUUCAGAUCCUAAACUUGUAGUAGAUUUUUAUGUUCUCUGCAAUCAGUUUUGCUUCAGCGGCCCUGCAGGUGUUUAUGCGUGCUGGCAUGCUAAAUCUCACCAUUCAAAAUAGUUUAUUUUUUACAACAAAAUCUGAAGAAUAAUUUCUUCAUUUUGUCAAAAAAUACCCCAUUCCUAUUAUUUUUCUCUUCUUUAUCUUCACAGGUAGAUGGGGCAAAGCAUUACCUUGUGUAAAACUGCUGCUAAAAUAUAUUCCUAGUGAGAAAGGUCAACUUGUGGGCUAAAGUCCUUGUCACCUCCUGAUCAGUUUUCACUUAGGGCACAGCAGUCUGCCAUUCACCAUUGGGAUCUCUGUGUGUUUCUUCUCUCUUAUGAAAGGACAUAUUGAGCGCUCUAGGACUUGGCUGCCUACAUCAAGUAGAGGGGGACCCUCAUGAUUCACUAAGGGGCCUCAGUUCUGAAUAUUUCUCAUUAUUCAAAAAUGCAAAGCCAUUGUCAUUACGUGGCAGUUUAUUGGAACCAAGGGAGGAAUUGGUCCCUUUUCAUGUUCUUCUCCUAAAUAGAGAAAAGGUAAUUAAAACUUGGAGCUUAAUAAGGGCCAUCUCUAUUUGAACAGCCUAAUACAAAUCCAUUCUCAAUACCUUUUUACACCUUGUCUGAACUGACUUCUACUGUGUACUCCACUGCAUGGGAAUUCUGGAACUUUAGAACGAAGGGAACUCAAUUCAUUCUAUAUAUAUCUCAUUCAUUCAUUUUUUUUUCAUUUGUUCACCAAAUGCUAACUCAAUACCUACGUAACAGAGAUAAUGUUCUUAUUGUCUGUAAAUCAGAAAAUGCAUGCAUUGAAUAAACGCCAUAUAUUCUUGGAAGCUGAGGGCUGAUAACUCAAGGUAAAUGAUCAGCUAGUCUCCUAUGAAAUAAGUAUCUUAUUUCAUGUUACAUGUAGAAAUGACCAUGCAACUUUAUCUUAAAGCCAGGCCUUAUUGAGAAAAAGGGGAUCCAAAUUCCAAAUGUUUCCUUACAUGCUGAGAGGAAACCUUGGAGGUCUGAGCGUGAGUCAUAGGUAGAGGGAAAUCAUGCUAAGAUAUAUAUUGUUUCCACCAGACAGGUAGAGGAAGCAGAGACCCUUUGGCAGAAGAGAUACAGAGAAGAGAGGAGGAGAGGUUCUGGCUUUACCGUUCAGGCUUGAAACCCCAAGUUUAGAUGGAUUGAGGGGGAAGCUUAAGGCAAACAUGACCCCUGGGCCAACACAGGCUAGAGGAACAAUGUAGAAAUGACCAUGUAACUUUAUAGGCAUGAAGAAGAUGCCUGUGAUGGCACUGAGUCUCCUGUGGCUCCCUUGUGUGCCCAAAUGCCUGAAGGAUGUGAGAGUAUUGGUUGUUAGAAUUUCAGGGAAUUCCACCAAGUGGGGAAUGACUCUGUAUUAAGGGCUGCAAAGAAAAGCUCCCAGGCCAAGCAUUGAGUGGGAGGUGCUACCUGCCCUCAGGGAUCCACAGGGACUUCAACAGCUGAUGUGGGGUCUCAUCAGCCUCAAGGUGGCCAAGUUUCUAUGCUGAGACUAUAGCCCACAGUUACACCAGCCAUGAUCCUCAGCAGCAGAGGUAGUGAUGAUGAAGUCUGAUGCCCAAAGACAAGCAGAACAAUAUGCACAGUUCCAGCCAAUGCCACGAGGUAGCCUUUGUACUUCCCUAUACCUAGCUGGGAGGGAGGAAGGAAGGAGAGAGGAGACUCCUAGGAAGAGGAGAAAAUAAUUAUCCCAAAGAGACUGACAUAACCUGGAAAAGACCGAGAACUACUAAUUAGCAAGAUAAAGUUCAUUUACCUCUUCCUGUUUCUUACCAAGAUGGUAUGUAUCCUUUCAGAUAAUAAAUAAAUUUAUGUUUUCUUGCCCUAUUUUAAUGUGAUUUAAAUGUUUCUUGUUUUUUCUGUUUUCAUUCAUAACAAAAAUUUUGUUCUCAGAGACACUGAGACAUGAGACACGAUGCUGGACUAUAUUGGGGGGGAGCACCUCAUCAUAUGGGCAAGAUAUUGCAGCAGCAUGUAGCCCUCCACGUCCUGACUGCUCACUUCUCUUUCGCCAUCCCCUAACACACGUAUUAGGCUUUUGCUAUGUUCAUUUAUCUAGCCCAUAAGCCACUCCUUCAGAGGGCAAUGCAUGGAAUUGGCAGCCUUGGUUCCCCACCAACUGACAGGGGUCUGGAAUUCAGGUGUUUCCAAAGACCUGCAGUCUUGGGGGCCUUAAUGCUUGCUGAGUAGCAGCACUUUCUAGGACUUUCCCUAUUGUACGUUUCAGUCCAUGCUUUUCUUUUUGUCUUGUCUCAGUGUUCUUCCCUGCUAGUCUGGUUCUCAACAAGACCCAAGCCCUGCAACACACCCAAAUCCCCUUGAUGGGAACCUGAUUUCCUACGUGGCUUUUCCCAGUCACCCCAUGCUCUCCCCACUCCCAUCUUUCCUGGUGAAUUGCUCCUUUCCUAAAUCUGUUGUGAAUAACAAUUUGGCCACAGUGCUAAAGCCUCUCACUCCUCACUUUAAAUUCCUUUGGGAAACAGUCAUUCAUGUUCAUUUUAGACAAUUUCCCUGUCCUGUGCGGACUCUUCUCAAGAAGUCUACUCCCAAAACUCCUGCUGAGGUAGGUCCAGGUCA